CCUACGUGAGGCAGCAGUGAGGAAUAUUGGUCAAUGGGCGCGAGCCUGAACCAGCCAAGUAGCGUGAAGGAUGACUGCCCUACGGGUUGUAAACUUCUUUUAUAAGGGAAUAAAGUGAGUCACGUGUGCCUUUUUGUAUGUACUUUAUGAAUAAGGAUCGGCUAACUCCGUGCCAGCAGCCGCGGUAAUACGGAGGAUCCGGGCGUUAUCCGGAUUUAUUGGGUUUAAGGGGAGCGUAGAUGGGUUGUUAAGACAGUUGUGAAAGUUUGCGGCUCAACCGUAAAAUUGCAAUUGAUACUGGCAGGCUUGAGUACGGUUGAGGUAGGCGGAAUUCGUGGUGUAGCGGUGAAAUGCUUAGAUAUCACGAAGAACUCCGAUUGCGAAGGCAGCUUACUAAACUGCCACUGACGUUGAUGCUCGAAAGUGUGGGUAUCAAACAGGAUUAGAUACCCCGGUAGUC
rnacentral:rRNA from 1 species